rnacentral:ncRNA from 1 species
UGAUUUGAGUUAGAUUAGGUGGGAUUCCUCUUCAUGUUUGGGAUGUGCCCAUUUUUUAGAAGAUUGUCAUUUAUUUUGGAGAGUUUUGUCCCACUUCUUUUCCAUGAGAAGAAGGAGUGACGGUAUCCGAAGAAUAAGCAUCAGCUAACUAUGUGCCAACAUCUGCAGUAAGAUAGAGGAUGCAAGCAUUAUCCGGAAUGAUUGGGCGUAAAGCAUCUGUAGGUAGCUUUUAAAGUCCACCGUCAAAUCCCAGGACUCAACCCUGGACAGGCGGUGGAAACUACCAAGCUAGAGUACGGUAGCGGCAUAGGUAAUUUCUGGUAGAGCGGUGAAAUGCGUAGAGAUUAGAAAGAACACUAAUGUCAAUAUUGACAGGGAGUUGUUUGGAGAUUAGAAAUGUUCUUUUGUUAGAAUUAAAAUGAGGAGGUUUCUGGGAAAUCCUACCCC